GGAUGUGAGGGCGAUCUGUCUGCAACAUCUGUCGCCCCAUUGAUUCCCCAAGUUGAUUCUGCUGAUCUGGCUGGCUAGGCAGGUGUCUGCUUCCUUCCUCACCACUCUGUGUAUGUCCCUCCCAAAGCUGUAUGCUCGGUCAAAGAGGACAACCAUCCCCAAUAGAGGAGAACUGAUCUUAGUUAAGGGUAUACAAGUAGCUGCACUCCCCUGCCAGAACCUCCAAACAAGCUCUCAAGGUCCACCAGUUCUACUCCCAUGAUAACCGAUUAAUCCAUUGACCCACUAAUCCAUGAAUGGAUUA
ensembl:misc_RNA 7SK 7SK RNA